rnacentral:rRNA from 1 species
UACGAGAGGCCCGAGCGUUAGGCGGAAUCACUGGGCUUAAAGGGUGCGUAGGCGGACGUGCAAGCGUGUUGUGAAAGCCCUCGGCUCAACCGAGGAAUCGCGGUAUGAACUGCACGUCUUGAGGCAGGUAGGGGCCAGCGGAACGUUCGGUGGAGCGGUGAAAUGCGUAGAUAUCGAACGGAACGCCGAUGGUGAAGACAGCUGGCUGGGCCUGUCCUGACGCUGAGGCACGAAAGCUAGGGGAGCAAACAGG